rnacentral:rRNA from 1 species
ACACAUGCAAGUCGAGGGGUAAGUCUCGCUUCGUGCGGGAACACGACCGGCGCACGGGUGAGUAACGCGUAUGCAACCUACCUUCAACUGGGAGAUAGCUCCCGGAAACGGGGAUUAAUAUCCCAUAAUGUUUUUUUACGGCAUCGUAAAAAAAUUAAAGCUCCGGCGGUUGAAGAUGGGCAUGCGUGACAUUAGCUAGUUGGUAAGGUAACGGCUUACCAAGGUUACGAUGUCUAGGGGGUCUGAGAGGAUGAUCCCCCACACUGGUACUGAGACACGGACCAGACGUCUACGGACGGCAGCAGUGAGGAAUAUUGGGCAAUGGACGAAAGUCUGACCCAGCCAUGCCGCGUGCAGGAUGACAGCCCUAUGGGUUGUAAACUGCUUUUCUGCGAGAAGAAACUUUCCGACGUGUCGGAAAUUGACGGUAUCGCAAGAAUAAGCAUCGGCUAACUCCGUGCCAGCAGCCGCGGUAAUACGGAGGAUGCAAGCGUUAUCCGGAUUUAUUGGGUUUAAAGGGUGCGUAGGCGGGAGAUUAAGUCAGUGGUGAAAUCCUGCAGCUUAACUGUAGAAUUGCCAUUGAUACUGAUUUCCUUGAGUGUAGUUGAGGUGGGCGGAAUGUGUAUUGUAGCGGUGAAAUGCAUAGAUCAUACACAGAACACCUAUUGCGAAGGCAGCUCACUAAACUAAUACUGACGCUGAGGCACGAAAGCGUGGGUAGCGAACAGGAUUAGAUACCCUGGUAGUCCACGCUGUAAACGUUGAUUACUCGAUGUGUGCGAUACACUGUACGCGUCUGAGCAAAAGCAUUAAGUAAUCCACCUGGGGAGUACGAUCGCAAGAUUGAAACUCAAAGGAAUUGACGGGGGGCCCGCACAAGCGGAGGAACAUGUGGUUUAAUUCGAUGAUACGCGAGGAACCUUACCUGGGGCUUAAAUGCAGAAUGACGUCCACCGAAAGGUGGAUUCCCUUCGGGGCAGACUGCAAGGUGCUGCAUGGUUGUCGUUCAGCUCGUGCCGUGAGGUGUCGGGUUAAGUCCCAUAACGGAGCGCAACCCCUAUUGUUAGUUGCCAGCGA